AUCUGAAAGCCAGCGAAGUUUUAGUUUUGCCGUCAACCAGCACAAUUAAAAGUUACAGGUACAAUGAUGCUUAGUAAUAACUGACUUUUACAAGAGCCCUGCAAUAAUCCUAUUUUAAUUUGAAGAAAUCAGAUUGCACCGGAACCUGGUUUAAAUUAUCAGGCAAUUGGACAAGUGAAAAAAGUAAAGCAAAAUUACAAAUGUUUGCCAGGCUAUGUAACAAUGGAUGAGAUAAAAAUUCGUGAAAGUCUAGUAAUCCAUGAAGGAAAACUUGUCGGAUUGGUUGAUUGGGGUGAACCUGACACAAAUAAAUUGGCAACACACAUUCUUGUGUUUUACGUAAGAACUAUUAAAAGAGAGAUUUCGUUGCCAAUUGCUUGGUUUCCCACCAGCUCAACACCAGCUAACGAGUUAGCAUUAAUGUUUUGGCAAGUGUUGUUUGAGUUGGAGAAGAUUGGAGUACAAAUAUAUGCACUGGUGGUUGAUGGGAAUUCUAUAAACAGAAAAUGUUUUUUAUUGCUAAGUGGUCAG